rnacentral:tRNA from 1 species
GCGAUUGUGGCGAAGUGGUUAACGCACCGGAUUGUGGCUCCGGCAUUCGUGAGUUCGAUUCUCAUCAGUCGCCCCA